CUCCCCCCAGUCUUAGGGGAUGGCCUUGCUGUUGCCUUCAGCAGCAAUGCUCUGCCUCCAUUGUUGGCCUCCUCUGCAGGGUGGGACCGUCUGAGCACCUGCCCGUGUCUGUGCAGCAUGGCACACUGACGCCAGGCCCACGUGCAUGCCCAGGUGGCCAGUCACACACCAGGUGCUCCCUCAGUGUUGGCCAAGUGAGAGGAGCACACCUUCCGGGUGCUCAGACACCUCCCCGUGGCAAACACCGUUCGUUGCUACCAAACAGCCACCUCCUUCCUUACAGGCUCCCAUUUUUCUGUGCUGGGCAAAGGUCCCUUGAUCUUGGAGUUGCAGCCUCUUUCUCUCCAAGGAGGGCCGUGACCAACCUGAGCCAGUCAAUCCAGUGAUUGGUUCAGGAGUAGCCUGUGACCAGGAGUCCUGGUAGUGAACGACUGGGGCAGCCCUGGGGGUGAGGACCUUGCGCAGCAGUCACAGGCCCUGAUUGGACACUGGGCAGCUGCUAACCCAGUGUCUCCAGCUGCCUACCUGGAGAGCUCCAAGCGUAAGAAAAUAAACCCUGCCUGUUGAAGCCA
rnacentral:sRNA from 1 species